UACGAAGGGUGCAAGCGUUACUCGGAAUUACUGGGCGUAAAGCGUGCGUAGACGGUUACAUAAGUCGGGUGUGAAAGCCCCGGGCUCAACCUGGGAAUUGCAUUCGAGACUGCGUAGCUAGGGUGCGGAAGAGGGAAGCGGAAUUUCCGGUGUAGCGGUGAAAUGCGUAGAUAUCGGAAGGAACACCAGUGGCGAAAGCGGCUUCCUGGUCCAGCACCGACGUCAGGCACGAAAGCGUGGGGAGCAAACAGG
rnacentral:rRNA from 1 species